rnacentral:rRNA from 1 species
AUGGCUGGCGGCGGCGCGGUGCCCCCGCCACCGCGGCAGCUCGAAGUUCGGCGCUUCGCGUCUGACCGCGUCGGAGAGCUACGAUCCCUGCACGCGGCCGUCUCAGCUCGCGUCGACGGCCGCUUCCAGCAGCCCCGCUCCGCACGCCGCCGCACCACGGGGCACCUCCCCUCCAAGCGCGGCCGCGCAAGCAGAGGUGCCGCGGCGGGCCAGGCUCCUGAGGAGGGUAACCCCUCGGCGCGUCAGUCGAGGAGGGUGAGGCGCCGGCAAGAGCUAGCUGGCAACCCUGCGGAGGGGUUCUCAUUCGCUGGCGACGGCGCGCGGCGGCUGCGCACUCACCUAUGGCAUGCCAAGAGGUUCACCAUGGCAAGACGGUGGGGUUUCGUCUUGCCCAUUUGCUCCCAGGGGAGCGGGAGGGGUUCACGGGCAGUUCUCAAGCGGUUGAAAACUGGAACAAUUGUUCAUGAUGCUAGCUACUUCAUUCCGAUUCAACUAGACGGUCCAGAGGACUCCCUAUUAUCCAUUCUGGGAAUGGUUAUUUGUCCAUCUCCUGCAGAUAAAACACCUGACUUAAAGCACCUACAAGAUAAAGUUAUGCAAGGUGUUUGCAUUGAGAACGCUACGCUUCGGCGUGCUGGGUGCCCCCACUCUCAUGUUGUUGGACCAGUGACAUACAUGUGGCGGCCAUUCUCAAUAGGGAGUAGCAAAUUGGAGGCCAAAGAAGCAGAUUUGUCCAAUUCUGAAACUAGAUUUAGUCAAGGAAGCUGCAGUUCAUCACAACGCCAAUUAUGGAUAUGGAUUCAUCCUGCUAUGCUGGAUGAAGGGCUGGAUGCAAUAAGAAUUGCAUGUGACAAACAGAUGCAAGAUUCUGGUGUUCUGGUCAACUGUUGUUCACUAGAGGGGAAAAUUGCAAGAUUGGAAGUCAUGGGAUGCAAGGCUAUGCAAUCUCUUAAGAGUAUAUUGCACCCAGUUAGUAAUAUGAUCAACAGGAUACUUGAUACAAGUGAUAUGUCUAAACCAACUGAUCAUUCUGUGUAUUCCUCUACUGGCCCUCAUGUUUUGGAAGCAUCUGUCAUCGAUCAUGCUGAGAUUCUUCAGCCUGGUGCUAUACUGUCCAUGAUAGUUCAUGACCCCAGGGAGGUUUCAUCUCAGGGGACAGAUUCUCCUUCGGAAACAGUUACGAACCAGGAGAACAAACUCUUGGAGGGGGGAGACCUGGAGGCACCAUCCGAGGAGAGACACAUAUUCUCAUCAAUGCAAAUGCACUCUGGAAGGCAUGAUUUGCUCCUUUCUGACUGUAGAGAAAUGUGGGAUUCUGGCUGUAAGAUAAUUCCCCCAGUGGCAGAGGAGAUCCUUUGUAUGGAAAAACACCACAGACGUAUAAAUUUUUUCUGCCUGGAUUCUGAAAAUGACCAAGGACAAGCAACUCAAGCGAAUGGUUGCUUCAGUCGAUCCUGCCCUGUUAUUCUUCUGAAACAUGCUAAAGAAAGGUGGUCCAUUAUCGUGCCUUUGAGCUGGGUAAAGCCUUUUUGGCUCUUUCUAGUAUCUCAUGGUGCACACGCGAUUGGCUUAAGAGAGAGACGGUGGAUUGCAUCACAGUUAAAGAUACCAUGCUUCCCUUAUGAUUACCCAGACAGCAAAGCAUAUUCAUCAUUUAUGACAAAAGAGGCUGCUGUUUUUGAUAAAGCAGCUGAGUACCGCCCUGCUGCCAAGAGACCUCCAAGAGUUCCUGUACCUCCUUCAUGGCAUCAUAUCAUGGCUAGUUUAAAUAAAGAAGAUGGCACGGUGAGAUGUCUUGAAGUAGAUGACUUAAAGCCUUCUGAUACGGUGUUACCUGAGUGUUUCUCAUUAAAUUCCAACUGUGGAGAUUCUGGAUCAUCACCGACAACUGUCGUUGCUUCAUUCCAACUCUUUGUGCCAAGAACCAUUCAAACGUUGAGACAUUAUGUGAAAGAACUUGAUAUGAUGUCUUUGAGUUCUUCAUCUGAGAUGGAAAUCGAUAUUGAUGAGCCCAAAUUGGCUUCUGGUGGCACUGUUAAGACGCCAUCUCCUGUAAAUGGAUUAUACCUUGUAAGGGUCCUGAUUCGAGUGUUCAAGGAAGGUUUCUUUGAAGAUGGCGCUGUAGUUUGUGCACCAUUUUUAUCAGAUCUUACAGCUUGGAAAACCAGAUCAGAGGAGGAUGAGGAACAAUGUCUAGAAAAAUGGAAAGUCCAGCUCCCGCAGUCCCAUAUCAGUUCUUAUUUUCCAUGUCUGGGUCCCAAAGAUGACACCACACGGAAAGCAUUGAGAUGGCCGAUAGGCUUUGUCACGACUGGUUUCGUACAUGGAAGCACUGGGAAGGAUGGUGCUGCGGUUGCGUUCUGUGAUGCAAGGCUUCUGGCGGCGUUGCGACAAGAGCAAUGGAAUGAAAAGAGUAUGCUGGGUCAAGAGAUCUGUGUUCUUGUCAGGAACGCGAGAUCAGCGGCGUAUAGACGGGCAUUUGCCACAGUUGUUCUGGAGCAGCAGAAGGAAGAUCUAGAGUUUCUGUAG